rnacentral:lncRNA from 1 species
UCAUUCAAAUAAUCAUCUACAUUGCUAGAAAUAUCCAUUACAUGAGAAAUAAAAAAAUGGAAAUGUUGACCAAAUAUUGACUUUGGUCAACAAUUGAACUUUUGGCCAACUUUGACCAAAGUCAACCCAAAUUAUUCAAACAUCCAAAAUCCCAUUACAAUUUCAAUCCAAUACAAAAUUCCAAUUUUAUUUUUUACAUCAUAUGAUCACAACCAAAAUUCAAUUACAAACAUUCUAAGUCACUUUCUAAUGCAUACCAACUUAUGUAUUAAAAAAAACCAAACAUUUCAAACCAAAUUCCAAAAUUCCAACUCUAUUCAAAUGAACAUUUCAAACCAACUUCCAAAAUUCCAACUCUAUUCAAAUGACCAUUUGAAACCAAUUUCCGAAACUACAAUUCCAUACAUAAACCACCAACUUCCAAAAUUCCAACUCUAUUCAAAUGACCAUUUGAAACCAAUUUCCGAAACUACAAUUCCAUACAUAAACCAUACACAUACAUCUUGAGCUCUGAUUACAUACAACCCUUUCAUUCUUCUUUGUAUAACAGAAUUAUCAGUAGCAUUCUUCACUCUUCUAGUUCUGCUGAAUUUUUGAUUGAUUUACUAACAUCAAAGUAUUUCAACUAUAUUGAUGUCAGUUAUUUUACAUUCAUAAGUCUUGAAAAACUUGCUAGAAAUUUGGAAGAAAAAGAUGUUAUUGAUGAUAAAACUGUAAGUGUAGAUGGCACUAA